AGUAGAAAUGUCAAAGUGGUUUAUGGAAUUGUUAAAGUUAAAUUGGAAAAUAAAAUAAUUGUAAAAAGAACUCAUCGACAGUUAGUUUAUUAUAACCUACAAACUUCUAAAAUGUCUGAAGAAACAAAUUCAAACAAAACAAUUAAAACCGAACCGAUUGAUGAUUAUCCUCAAGUGAAA